rnacentral:rRNA from 1 species
GAUGAACGCUAGCUACAGGCUUAACACAUGCAAGUCGAGGGGCAUCAGGAAGAAAGCUUGCUUUCUUUGCUGGCGACCGGCGCACGGGUGAGUAACACGUAUCCAACCUGCCCUUUACUCGGGGAUAGCCUUUCGAAAGAAAGAUUAAUACCCGAUAGCAUAAUGAUUCCGCAUGGUUUCAUUAUUAAAGGAUUCCGGUAAAGGAUGGGGAUGCGUUCCAUUAGGUUGUUGGUGAGGUAACGGCUCACCAAGCCUUCGAUGGAUAGGGGUUCUGAGAGGAAGGUCCCCCACAUUGGAACUGAGACACGGUCCAAACUCCUACGGGAGGCAGCAGUGAGGAAUAUUGGUCAAUGGGCGCUAGCCCGAACCAGCCAAGUAGCGUGAAGGAUGAAGGCUCUAUGGGUCGUAAACUUCUUUUAUAUAAGAAUAAAGUGCAGUAUGUAUACUGUUUUGUAUGUAUUAUAUGAAUAAGGAUCGGCUAACUCCGUGCCAGCAGCCGCGGUAAUACGGAGGAUCCGAGCGUUAUCCGGAUUUAUUGGGUUUAAAGGGAGCGUAGGUGGACUGGUAAGUCAGUUGUGAAAGUUUGCGGCUCAACCGUAAAAUUGCAGUUGAUACUGUCAGUCUUGAGUACAGUAGAGGUGGGCGGAAUUCGUGGUGUAGCGGUGAAAUGCUUAGAUAUCACGAAGAACUCCGAUUGCGAAGGCAGCUCACUGGACUGCAACUGACACUGAUGCUCGAAAGUGUGGGUAUCAAACAGG